AUGAAGCUACUCACCCACAACCUGCUGAGCUCCCACAUGUGUGGGGUGAGGCCCUCUGGCUUUCCCAGGUGACUCUAGGCCACAGAGGUUCACAUCAACCCUACAGCAGUCAUCCUGACUUGGUGGCAUGUAUGGUACCCAACAUGAAGUGGGCAGUGCUUCUGAGGGUGGCCAAUAUCUUGCUUCUGGUUGAGGUGUUUAAAAGGCCAAUCUAAGGGUAAGAGCAUGAGGAGAAAUUUCUGAGGAAGAUGCACAAUGUGCUGCAGGAAUCUGUUCUUCAUUAGCCUCAGGAUCCCCCAAAAUGCUGCUGAAUGAUGAGGAAAUUGAAACUUAG
rnacentral:lncRNA from 1 species